rnacentral:rRNA from 1 species
AACGCACCUUGCGCUCCCUGGUACUCCGGGGAGCAUGCCUGUUUGAGUGUCGUGAAAUCAUCAUGGUCAUGAUCUUUAAUUAAUCAUGGCUUGGUUUUGGAGGUUAUGUUGGCUUUUUAUUAAGUUGACUCCUCUUAAAUACAUUAGCUCAGUGUUUAAUGCUUAGAGCGGUUCACGGUGUGAUAAUUAUCUACGCUUUGAACCGUCUGUUGGUACCUAGUCGGUCUGGCUUCCAAUCGUCUUCGGACAAUACACCGUUCAUUUUGACCUCAAAUCAGGUAGGACUACCCGCUGAACUUAA